rnacentral:rRNA from 1 species
GACGAACGCUGGCGGCGUGCUUAACACAUGCAAGUCGAACGGAAAGGCCCUGCUUUUGUGGGGUGCUCGAGUGGCGAACGGGUGAGUAACACGUGAGUAACCUGCCCUUGACUUUGGGAUAACUUCAGGAAACUGGGGCUAAUACCGGAUAUGAGCUCCUGCUGCAUGGUGGGGGUUGGAAAGUUUCGGCGGUUGGGGAUGGACUCGCGGCUUAUCAGCUUGUUGGUGGGGUAGUGGCUUACCAAGGCUUUGACGGGUAGCCGGCCUGAGAGGGUGACCGGCCACAUUGGGACUGAGAGACGGCCCAGAAUCCUACGGGAGGCAGCAGUGGGGAAUAUUGCACAAUGGGCGGAAGCCUGAUGCAGCAACGCCGCGUGCGGGAUGACGGCCUUCGGGUUGUAAACCGCUUUCGCCUGUGACGAAGCGUGAGUGACGGUAAUGGGUAAAGAAGCACCGGCUAACUACGUG